rnacentral:rRNA from 1 species
AUUGAACGCUGGCGGCAUGCCUUACACAUGCAAGUCGAACGGUAACAGGUCUUCGGAUGCUGACGAGUGGCGAACGGGUGAGUAAUACAUCGGAACGUGCCCGAGAGUGGGGGAUAACGAAGCGAAAGCUUUGCUAAUACCGCAUACGAUCUCAGGAUGAAAGCAGGGGACCGCAAGGCCUUGCGCUCACGGAGCGGCCGAUGGAAGAUUAGGUAGUUGGUGGGAUAAAAGCUUACCAAGCCGACGAUCUGUAGCUGGUCUGAGAGGACGACCAGCCACACUGGGACUGAGACACGGCCCAGACUCCUACGGGAGGCAGCAGUGGGGAAUUUUGGACAAUGGGCGCAAGCCUGAUCCAGCCAUGCCGCGUGCAGGAUGAAGGCCUUCGGGUUGUAAACUGCUUUUGUACGGAACGAAAAGACUCUGGUUAAUACCUGGGGUUCAUGACGGUACCGUAAGAAAAAGCACCGGCUAACUACGUGCCAGCAGCCGCCGUAA